rnacentral:rRNA from 1 species
GAUGAACGUUGGCGGCGUGCUUAACACAUGCAAGUCGAACGGAAAGGCUCCUGCUUGCAGGGGUACUCGAGUGGCGAACGGGUGAGUAACACGUGGGUGAUCUGCCCUGCACUUCGGGAUAAGCCUGGGAAACUGGGUCUAAUACCGGAUAGGACGAUGGUUUGGAUGCCAUUGUGGAAAGUUUUUCGGUGUGGGAUGAGCUCGCGGCCUAUCAGCUUGUUGGUGGGGUAAUGGCCUACCAAGGCGUCGACGGGUAGCCGGCCUGAGAGGGUGUACGGCCACAUUGGGACUGAGAUACGGCCCAGACUCCUACGGGAGGCAGCAGUGGGGAAUAUUGCACAAUGGGCGCAAGCCUGAUGCAGCGACGCCGCGUGGGGGAUGACGGCCUUCGGGUUGUAAACUCCUUUCGCUAGGGACGAAGCGCAAGUGACGGUACCUGGAGAAGAAGCACCGGCUAACUACGUG